rnacentral:piRNA from 1 species
UGCCAAGGCACUCUGCUUUAGGUCGCCAU